rnacentral:tRNA from 1 species
UGCCGAUCAGGGCGCGGGCCAGUUCAAGACGGCUUUGCAGGUUAUCGGGUUCCGCGGCCACCUUCUGUUUCAGCGGUUCCAGUUCGCUGUCAUCGAC